rnacentral:rRNA from 1 species
UACGAAGGGGGCUAGCGUUGCUCGGAAUCACUGGGCGUAAAGGGUGCGUAGGCGGGUCUUUAAGUCAGGGGUGAAAUCCUGGAGCUCAACUCCAGAACUGCCUUUGAUACUGAGGAUCUUGAGUACGGGAGAGGUGAGUGGAACUGCGAGUGUAGAGGUGAAAUUCGUAGAUAUUCGGAAGAACACCAGUGGCGAAGGCGGCUCACUGGACCGGUAUUGACGCUGAGGCACGAAAGCGUGGGGAGCAAACAGG